GCACAAACUCGAUCACUGACUCUGCAUGAUGUUGCAAGAGAGAGGGGACCCAGAUGUGCUAAAGGAAGUGCAGUGAAAGAAAUGGAUUCACUUGGCUUGUACUGAGGUUGUUUAUUUUAACCUAGAACAGGA